rnacentral:rRNA from 1 species
CCAGAGAAUUUAGCAGAGAUGCUUUAGUGCCUUCGGGAACUCUGAGACAGGUGCUGCAUGGCUGUCGUCAGCUCGUGUUGUGAAAUGUUGGGUUAAGUCCCGCAACGAGCGCAACCCUUAUCCUUUGUUGCCAGCACGUAAUGGUGGGAACUCAAAGGAGACUGCCGGUGAUAAACCGGAGGAAGGUGGGGAUGACGUCAAGUCAUCAUGGCCCUUACGAGUAGGGCUACACACGUGCUACAAUGGCGCAUACAAAGAGAAGCGACCUCGCGAGAGCAAGCGGACCUCAUAAAGUGCGUCGUAGUCCAGAUUGGAGUCUGCAACUCGACUCCAUGAAGUCGGAAUCGCUAGUAAUCGUAAAUCAGAAUGUUACGGUGAAUACGUUCCCGGGCCUUGUACACACCGCCCGUCACACCAUGGGAGUGGGUUGCAAAAGAAGUAGAUAGCUUAACCUUCGGGAGGGCGUUUACCACUUUGUGAUUCAUGACUGGGGUGAAGUCGUAACAAGGUAGGCGUAGUGCU